rnacentral:rRNA from 1 species
GACGAACGCUGGCGGCGUGCUUAACACAUGCAAGUCGAACGGAAAGGCCCUGCUUUUGUGGGGUGCUCGAGUGGCGAACGGGUGAGUAACACGUGAGUAACCUGCCCUUGACUUUGGGAUAACUUCAGGAAACUGGGGCUAAUACCGGAUAGGAGCUCCUGCUGCAUGGUGGGGGGUGGGAAGGUUCGGCGGUUGGGGAUGGACUCGCGGCUUAUCAGCUUGUUGGUGGGGUAGUGGCUUACCAAGGCUUUGACGGGUAGCCGGCCUGAGAGGGUGACCGGCCACAUUGGGACUGAGAUACGGCCCAGACUCCUACGGGAGGCAGCAGUGGGGAAUAUUGCACAAUGGGCGGAAGCCUGAUGCAGCAACGCCGCGUGCGGGAUGACGGCCUUCGGGUUGUAAACCGCCUUCGCCUGUGACGAAGCGUGAGUGACGGUAAUGGGUAAAGAAGCACCGGCUAACUACGUG